GAGGGUAUAGCUCAGUGGUAGAAUCCAUGCCUAGCAUGCACGAGGUCCUGGGUUCAAUCCCCAGUACCUCCA
rnacentral:tRNA from 1 species